GCAAAAUAACAUUACAAAAAAUUACAACAAAUAGGACGAAAAUAUAAGGUGGAAAAAGCCGGUAAUGUCACCCAUAUAACAUUGCCGGCAUAGACCUUAUCUGAACUAUCCUAUUGAGGCCAAUAAGAGCCUUCAGAACUAGCAAGCAUGCAAAAAGAAAGAACUUGCAACAAUUAAGAAUAGAGUGAUCAUCACAGAGUUUAUAACAAUCUAAUAAGAGCCUUCAGAACUAGCAAACAUGCAAAAAGAAAGAACUUGCAACAAUUAAGAAUAGAGUGAUCAUCACAGAGUUUAAAACAAUCUCUGUGAUGAUAUUACACAAAAUAAUGCUAAUGUGAUGGUAGAAUAGCAGGAUGAAAAAGACAUAGCGAUGCCCCUUUUUCUCUUUUGUAGUGAAUAACUCAAUUUGAGGAUAUGAUUCUUCUUCCCCAAAAUUUUUCAGAAAGUCUUCAAACUUCAUGAUUUAUUCUUCAGGCGAUUGGAUUUUGGGAAGUUUGUUUGUGCGGCCUGUUUUUGUUUAGCAUUUCUCAUUGGCGGCUUUCUUACUUCCACCAUGUUGCCAUCCCAACUUCUUUCCCUUUGAUGUGACUUCUUAAUUCUUGCACUGUGCAUUGGUGAUAAAUCACCCUUUAUUGACGCAUUUGCUCGGCAUUGGUUUAUGAAAUCCUCUUCUUCCCCUUCUUCGA
rnacentral:lncRNA from 1 species